GAUGAACGCUGGCGGCGUGCCUAAUACAUGCAAGUAGAACGCUGAAGGAAGGAGCUUGCUCUUUCCGGAUGAGUUGCGAACGGGUGAGUAACGCGUAGGUAACCUGCCUGGUAGCGGGGGAUAACUAUUGGAAACGAUAGCUAAUACCGCAUAACAGUAGAUGUUGCAUGAUAUCUACUUAAAAGGUGCAAUUGCACCACUACCAGAUGGACCUGCGUUGUAUUAGCUAGUUGGUGAGGUAACGGCUCACCAAGGCGACGAUACAUAGCCGACCUGAGAGGGUGAUCGGCCACACUGGGACUGAGACACGGCCCAGACUCCUACGGGAGGCAGCAGUAGGGAAUCUUCGGCAAUGGACGGAAGUCUGACCGAGCAACGCCGCAGGAGUGAAGAAGGUUUUCGGAUCGUAAAGCUCUGUUGUAAGAGAAGAACGAGUGUGAGAGUGGAAAGUUCACACUGUGACGGUAUCUUACCAGAAAGGGACGGCUAACUACGUG
rnacentral:rRNA from 1 species